GGAGAAGAUGGAGUGAAAAUUUAG
rnacentral:siRNA from 1 species